rnacentral:rRNA from 1 species
AACAAACGCUGGCGGCGUGCCUAACACAUGCAAGUCGUACGAGAAAGUUGGCUUCGGCCAAUGAGUAAAGUGGCGCACGGGUGAGUAACGCGUGGAUAAUCUGCCCCUCAGUUGGGAAUAACUCAUCGAAAGGUGAGCUAAUACCGGAUACGUUCAGGCUGGUGCGAAUCAGCAUGAAGAAAGGUGGCCUCUUCUUGAAAGCUACUGUACAGGGACGAGCUUGCGUACCAUUAGCUAGUUGGUAGGGUAAUGGCCUACCAAGGCGACGAUGGUUAGCGGGUCUGAGAGGAUGAUCCGCCACACUGGAACUGGAACACGGACCAGACUCCUACGGGAGGCAG